UACGUAGGGCGCAAGCGUUGUCCGGAAUUAUUGGGCGUAAAGAGCUCGUAGGCGGCUUGUCACGUCGGGUGUGAAAACCUGGGGCUCAACCCCGGGCCUGCAGCCGAUACGGGCAGACUAGAAUUCGGUAGGGGAGACUGGAAUUCCUGGUGUAGCGGUGAAAUGCGCAGAUAUCAGGAGGAACACCGGUGGCGAAGGCGGGUCUCUGGGCCGAUAUUGACGCUGAGGAGCGAAAGCGUGGGGAGCGAACAGG
rnacentral:rRNA from 1 species